UACGAAGGGGGCUAGCGUUGCUCGGAAUCACUGGGCGUAAAGGGUGCGUAGGCGGGGCUUUAAGUCAGGGGUGAAAUCCUGGAGCUCAACUCCAGAACUGCCUUUGAUACUGAAGAUCUUGAGUUCGGGAGAGGUGAGUGGAACUGCGAGUGUAGAGGUGAAAUUCGUAGAUAUUCGCAAGAACACCAGUGGCGAAGGCGGCUCUCUGGGACGGUACUGACGCUGAGACGCGAAAGCGUGGGGAGCGAACAGG
rnacentral:rRNA from 1 species